GUGGCCUGGGCCUGAAGCUGGGAAGUCACCUAACUUUAUUGGGAGAGGGCUGGGAGGAAGGAGGACCCUUAUUUCCCCUGGGGUUGUUUUACAGGAAGUAGCGGGUGACAAGCCCAGCUGUCCCGUGUGUGAGAAAACCCCGUGAGGUUGGGUUUUGUUUUGUGCCCCUGGGCUGGGGUGGCGAUGACAGCGGGACGUUCACAGGAACCUAAGGAGGAGGCGAGAACCCAAAGGGCAGGCUUGGGGGUCUGCGGCUGCCAUCUUCCCUCCAGAAUCGUUUCUCUCUCAGCUUUUCCCUGGACGACUGUGUGUUUUGUUUAUUUAGUGGUUUGCUUACAGUCCCUUCUCCCCCAUAGCACCCCCCGCGAGGGCCCCCGCUCUGGCACGACACCCCGCUCCCGGAGUUGGUCCUCUGCACACCUGCACCAGGCUGAAGCGGCGACCCGCGCGGCCCCGGAAAGAGAAGCUCCGCCCAUCGAAGGUGAACACUGCAAGGGACCUUAGAGAUAAUAUAUAGGAGCCUCCCAGAGGGGGCGCCCUGACCGACGGCCCAAAGCAAUUUGGUGGCUGGACCAGGUGCCCCCUUUGGCACCUCCCCGGCACUCCCCCUUCCCACCCCUCCAGUGCCUGAUGCCACCUCCACCCCCACCUGUACCUGGGCAUGGCAUUCCCUGCAUGGACCGUCCAGCAGCUGAUGGCACACAUCCUGGGCUGCAGCCUGGUGGUGCAGUGGUUAAGAAUCCGCCUGCCAAUGCAGGGGACACGGGUUCGAGCCCUGGUCCGGGAAGAUCCCACAUGCCACGGAGCAACUAAGCCCGUGUGCCACAACUACUGAGCCUGCGCUCUAGAGCCUGAGAGCCACAACUACUGAAGCCUGCGCGCCUAUAGCCUGUGCUCCGCAACAAGAGAAGCCACCUUAAUGAGAGGCCUGCGCACCGCAAUGAAAAGUAGCCCCUGCUCGCUGCAACUAAAAAAAAAGAAAGCCCACAUGCAGCAACGAAGACCCAAU
rnacentral:lncRNA from 1 species